rnacentral:rRNA from 1 species
GACGAACGCUGGCGGCGUGCUUAACACAUGCAAGUCGAACGGAAAGGCCUGCUUUCCCUUGUGGAUUGCGGGUACUCGAGUGGCGAACGGGUGAGUAACACGUGAGUGAUCUGCCCCCAACUUGGGUAUAAGCCUGGGAAACUGGGUCUAAUUCCCGAUAGGACUGCAGGGUGGUGCCUGUGGUGGAAAACGAUUUUCUAGUGGUUGGGGAUGAGCUCGCGGCCUAUCAGCUUGUUGGUGGGGUAAUGGCCUACCAAGGCGGCGACGGGUAGCCGGCCUGAGAGGGUGGACGGCCACAUUGGGACUGAGAUACGGCCCAGACUCCUACGGGAGGCAGCAGUGGGGAAUAUUGCACAAUGGGCGGAAGCCUGAUGCAGCGACGCCGCGUGGGGGAUGACGGCCUUCGGAUUGUAAACUCCUUUCGACCGCGAGGAAGCCACCUGGUUGGAAGGGUGGUGACGGUAGUGGUAGAAGAAGCACCGGCUAACUACGUG